rnacentral:rRNA from 1 species
CCCCCACACUGGCACUGAAACACGGGCCAGACACCUACGGGUGGCAGCAGUAGGGAAUAUUGGGCAAUGGGCGAAAGCCUGACCCAGCAACGCCGCGUGCACGAUGAAGGUCUUCGGAUCGUAAAGUGCUUUUCUGGGAGAUGAGAAAGGACAGUAUCCCAGGAAUAAGUCUCGGCUAACUACGUGCCAGCAGCCGCGGUAAUACGUAGGAGGCGAGCGUUAUCCGGAUUUACUGGGCGUAAAGCGCGUGCAGGUGGUUUGGUAAGUUGGAUGUGAAAGCUCCUGGCUCAACUGGGAGAGGUCGUUCAAUACUACCAGACUUGAGAGCAGUAGAGGGAGGUGGAAUUCCCGGUGUAGUGGUGAAAUGCGUAGAUAUCGGGAGGAACACCAGUGGCGAAAGCGGCCUCCUGGACUGUUUCUGACACUCAGACGCGAAAGCUAGGGUAGCAAACGGGAUUAGAGACCCCGGUAGUCCUAGCUGUAAACGAUGUGAACUUGGCGUCGGCGGGUUCAAAGCCGUCGGUGCCGAAGCUAACGCGAUAAGUUCACCGCCUGGGGACUACGGCCGCAAGGUUAAAACUCAAAGGAAUUGACGGGUCCCCGCACAAGCAGCGGAGCGUGUGGUUUAAUUCGAUGUUACACGAAGAACCUUACCCAGGUUUGACAUGUUGGUGGUAGGGAAGCGAAAGCAGACCGACCCGCAAGGGAGCCUUCACAGGUGUUGCAUGGCUGUCGUCAGCUCGUGUCGUGAGAUGUUCGGUUAAGUCCGCCAACGAGCGCAACCCUCGCCGUAUGUUACAAGUGUCAUACGGGACCGCCGGUAUCAAGCCGGAGGAAGGUGGGGAUGACGUCAAGUCAGCAUGGCCUUUAUAUCUGGGGCUACACACACGCUACAAUGGCCGGUACAAUGGGUCGCUAAGCCGCGAGGUAGAGCCAAUCCCCAAAGCCGGUCUCAGUUCAGAUCACAGGCUGCAACCCGCCUGUGUGAAGUCGGAGUUGCUAGUAAACGCGCGUCAGCUAUAGUGCGUUGAAUACGUUCCCGGGGAUUGUACACACCGCCCGUCACGUCAUGGGAGCUGGCAACACCUGAAGCCGGUAGCCUAACCGCAAGGAGGGCGCUGUCGAAGGUGGGGUUGGUGACUGGGACGAAGUCGUAACAAGGUAGGUGUACCGGAAGGUGCGCCUGGAUCACCUCCUUU